ensembl:miRNA
UGGUGUCCAUGUUGUCGUCCAUUGCCCUUUUUCUGUUGUACUACUGGGCAUUGAGAUGAGCAGUGCAAUAUUAAAAGGGCAUUGGCUGAUGAAACGGAGACCCA